CACGUAGUUAGCCGGGGCUUCUUAAUCCGGUACCGUCAUUUUCUUCCCUGCUGAUAGAGCUUUACAUACCGAAAUACUUCUUCACUCACGCGGCGUCGCUGCAUCAGGGUUUCCCCCAUUGUGCAAUAUUCCCCACUGCUGCCUCCCGCAGGAGUCUGGGCCGUGUCUCAGUCCCAAUGUGGCCGUUCACCCUCUCAGGCCGGCUACUGAUCGUCGCUUUGGUAGGCCGUUACCCUGCCAACUGGCUAAUCAGACGCGGGUCCAUCUCACACCGAUAAAUCUUUUCCGUCAGUGCCAUGCGGCACCAGCGGGUUAUGCGGUAUUAGCGGUCGUUUCCAACUGUUAUCCCCCUGUGUGAGGCAGGUUACCCACGCGUUACUCACCCGUCCGCCACUCAGUCACAAGAGACUUCAUCCGAAGAAUCAUUCUCAGGUGCUUCGUUCGACUUGCAUGUGUUAAGCACGCCGCCAGCGUUCAUCCUGAGCCAGGAUCAAA
rnacentral:rRNA from 1 species